rnacentral:lncRNA from 1 species
CAAGAAGUGAAUGCAAAUGUGCAAGUUGUUCAACUCAGGAAAUUGUGUCUGAAAAGAUACCGGACAACUGGAGAUGAUUUUUUCUGGCCUUUGUUUUUUCCUGAUGCUCAUGAAUCAACUUACUGGAGGUAGCAUGCACUAAUGAGACAGCAGAAAGAUGGAUACCGUGCAUGAGUACAGCCAGCUGUGGCCUCAUUGCCUAUUUGGAUCUAGAACGUAGAAAAUAGUAAGCUCCCUUUGCCCUGGACAUGAAAGAAAGAGGGAGAAGGGAGGGGAAAAGGAGGAAAGAAAAGGUAGGAGACCAAACCUUCCUCUUUCACUGUAAAGCUUAAAGCCAUUAUUAUUUGGAUCUUUUAUUAUUGUUUUGUUUUUCUUAGCAGGUAUAGAAAGUGACUUAAAACAGGCAUUAUAUCCAACACAGAUUCUGGAAAGUCAACCUUUAACAUUUUUAACUGUGUGUAAUGUGCACAUGAGUGCAGGUGCUUACAUUGGUCAGAUAACCUGAAGCUGAAGUUACAGAUGGCUGUGAGCUGCUUAGUAUUGGCUCCUGAGGACUGAACUUGGGUCCUCUGGAAGAACAGCCAGUGUUCUUAACCACUGAACCAUCUCUUCAGCACCACAAUCAAUCUUUAUGAACAUUUAAACAAUUAAAAUAAUAAAUUUCCAUCUUAUUACUUGAUGCAUUCCAUGUUAAGCCAAAGGAAGAAUGUUCUAAUAAAGAACUGAGAGAAAAAAAAUUCAGAAUUCACAGUGAGCUGCCAUGAGUCUGCCCCAGGAUGCUUACAUCAGUCUGACCCAGGAUGCUUGCCCAUUGUUGAGCAGAUCAAUCUAUACAACACUGACCAAAAACAGAUUUCAAUGCAGACGGAGAAAAUGAGAUGCAAAGA